CCCUCUGUCCCCUCCCUGUCCCUCUGUCCCCUCCCUGUCCCCCCGGGAUUUAAGGGCGGCCCCGGAGCCACCGCGGCACCGACCGAGCUGCCGGGAUGUGCGCUGGCCUGCAGUGUUUGCUGAACCUCCUGCGCUGGGGCUGGGGGGUCCUCAAGGGGCUCCUGGGGGGACACGGAGGGACCCACCCGCCCCCCGCAGCCGAGGGGACGACGAGCAAGGAGGAAUGAGAGACCCCCCCCAAAAAUCACCCGGGACCCCCAAAAACACCCGGGACCCCCCGGGACCCCCCCAUGAAUAAACCCCCCCU